rnacentral:rRNA from 1 species
UACAGAGGUCCCAAGCGUUGUUCGGAUUCACUGGGCGUAAAGGGUGCGUAGGCGGCUAGGUAAGUCCGGCGUGAAAUCUCCGAGCCUAACUCGGAAACUGCGUUAGAUACUACUUGGCUAGAGGAAUGGAGGGGAGACUGGAAUACUUGGUGUAGCAGUGAAAUGCGUAGAUAUCAAGUGGAACACCAGUGGCGAAGGCGAGUCUCUGGACAUUUCCUGACGCUGAGGCACGAAAGCCAGGGGAGCAAACGGG